rnacentral:lncRNA from 1 species
UGCUGUAUGUUGUCUGUUUGGCAUAAAAUUAUCGUUUUGCUUGUUUGUAUGUGAUUGAUAAUGCUGACUGAGGGAAAAGGAGAAUGAAAGAUUAUGUAAAUAGAAAAUUAUAUAAUGUGGUCAGCCUGACUAGGUAUCCUGGGAGAUGGUGGACGGACCGGGUCCGUAGGGAACCCUACCGGGAUUGUGGUCUCCCAUACCGGACGGGGUAUGGAGAUCUUAUGUGU